UCCUCUCUGGCCUCUUUUGGCUAAGAUCAUGUGUAGUAUCUGUUCUUAACGCUGUGAGAAGCGUUACAACCCUACGGGGUUUACUUCUCGCGAAGUUUUUCUGCGCCCGCGUUGCCUCUUCAGCUUGCUGAAUGUAACGCACGAUGUCGCUGGCACCGCACUACCGCCUUCUGAUGUCAGGGUUCCCCCCUCUUCACUUUUUGUUGUCUUUUUCCACAUUUUAUUUAAUUAUUGGUGAUUAUUUUUAC